rnacentral:lncRNA from 1 species
AACUUUUACUCCUUUCCACUUUCCCCCCAAAACUUUUACUCCCCUCCCAACCCCCCAAUCUACCCAAAAUUCAUUUCCCACCAAAAUUUUACUCCCAAAAACCCUCAAAACCUUUUAUUUUCUCCCAAAAUUUUUACUCCCUCCCACUUUUCCCCUAAAACUUUUAUUCCCUUCCCAUCCCACCUCCCAUCUACCCCAAACCCUUCCCCCUCCAAUUUUUUUUAAAAUAUUUU